rnacentral:rRNA from 1 species
UACGGAGGAUCCAAGCGUUAUCCGGAUUUAUUGGGUUUAAAGGGAGCGUAGGUUGACAUAUAAGUCAGCUGUGAAAGUUUACGGCUCAACCGUGAAAUUGCAGUUGAUACUGUAUGUCUUGAGUGUACAAGAGGUGGGCGGAAUUCGUGGUGUAGCGGUGAAAUGCUUAGAUAUCACGAAGAACUCCAAUUGCGAAGGCAGCUCACUGGGGUACAACUGACACUGAGGCUCGAAAGUGUGGGUAUCAAACAGGAUUAGAUACCCUGGUAGUCCACACAGUAAACGAUGAAUACUCGCUGUUUGCGAUAUACAGUAAGCGGCCAAGCGAAAGCAUUAAGUAUUCCACCUGGGGAGUACGCCGGCAACGGUGAA